AGAGUUUGAUCCUGGCUCAGAUUGAACGCUGGCGGCAUGCUUUACACAUGCAAGUCGGACGGCAGCACAGAGAAGCUUGCUUCUUGGGUGGCGAGUGGCGAACGGGUGAGUAACAUAUCGGAACGUACCGAGUAGUGGGGGAUAACUGAUCGAAAGAUCAGCUAAUACCGCAUACGUCUUGAGAGAGAAAGCAGGGGACCUUUGGGCCUUGCGCUAUUCGAGCGGCCGAUAUCUGAUUAGCUGGUUGGUGGGGUAAAGGCCUACCAAGGCGACGAUCAGUAGCGGGUCUGAGAGGAUGAUCCGCCACACUGGGACUGAGACACGGCCCAGACUCCUACGGGAGGCAGCAGUGGGGAAUUUUGGACAAUGGGCGCAAGCCUGAUCCAGCCAUGCCGCGUGUCUGAAGAAGGCCUUCGGGUUGUAAAGGACUUUUGUCAGGGAAGAAAAGGCUGUUGCUAAUAUCAGCGGCUGAUGACGGUACCUGAAGAAUAAGCACCGGCUAACUACGUGCCAGCAGCCGCGGUAAUACGUAGGGUGCGAGCGUUAAUCGGAAUUACUGGGCGUAAAGCGGGCGCAGACGGUUACUUAAGCAGGAUGUGAAAUCCCCGGGCUCAACCCGGGAACUGCGUUCUGAACUGGGUGACUCGAGUGUGUCAGAGGGAGGUAGAAUUCCACGUGUAGCAGUGAAAUGCGUAGAGAUGUGGAGGAAUACCGAUGGCGAAGGCAGCCUCCUGGGACAACACUGACGUUCAUGCCCGAAAGCGUGGGUAGCAAACAGGAUUAGAUACCCUGGUAGUCCACGCCCUAAACGAUGUCAAUUAGCUGUUGGGCAACUUGAUUGCUUGGUAGCGUAGCUAACGCGUGAAAUUGACCGCCUGGGGAGUACGGUCGCAAGAUUAAAACUCAAAGGAAUUGACGGGGACCCGCACAAGCGGUGGAUGAUGUGGAUUAAUUCGAUGCAACGCGAAGAACCUUACCUGGUCUUGACAUGUACGGAAUCCUCCAGAGACGGAGGAGUGCCUUCGGGAGCCGUAACACAGGUGCUGCAUGGCUGUCGUCAGCUCGUGUCGUGAGAUGUUGGGUUAAGUCCCGCAACGAGCGCAACCCUUGUCAUUAGUUGCCAUCAUUCAGUUGGGCACUCUAAUGAGACUGCCGGUGACAAGCCGGAGGAAGGUGGGGAUGACGUCAAGUCCUCAUGGCCCUUAUGACCAGGGCUUCACACGUCAUACAAUGGUCGGUACAGAGGGUAGCCAAGCCGCGAGGUGGAGCCAAUCUCACAAAACCGAUCGUAGUCCGGAUUGCACUCUGCAACUCGAGUGCAUGAAGUCGGAAUCGCUAGUAAUCGCAGGUCAGCAUACUGCGGUGAAUACGUUCCCGGGUCUUGUACACACCGCCCGUCACACCAUGGGAGUGGGGGAUACCAGAAGUAGGUAGGGUAACCGCAAGGAGCCCGCUUACCACGGUAUGCUUCAUGACUGGGGUGAAGUCGUAACAAGGUAGCCGUAGGGGAACCUGCGGCUG
rnacentral:rRNA from 1 species